rnacentral:rRNA from 1 species
UACGUAGGGUGCGAGCGUUGUCCGGAUUUAUUGGGCGUAAAGAGCUUGUAGGCGGUUGGUUGCGUCGAAAGUGCAAACUCAGGGCUUAACUCUGAGCCUGCUUUCGAUACGGGCUGACUGGAGGAAGGUAGGGGAGAAUGGAAUUCCCGGUGGAGCGGUGGAAUGCGCAGAUAUCGGGAGGAACACCAGUGGCGAAGGCGGUUCUCUGGACCUUUCCUGACGCUGAGAAGCGAAAGCGUGGGGAGCAAACAGG